GAGAUGUUGGGUUAAGUCCCGCAACGAGCGCAACCCCUGUGUCCUGUUGCCCGCAAGGGAUCUCUGGACAGACUGCCCUGUGAAACGGGGAGGAAGGUGGGGAUGACGUCAAGUCAGUAUGGCCCUUACGGCCAGGGCUGCACACGUAUUACAAUGCCCAGUACAGAACGAACCGAAUCCGCAAGGUGGAGGAAAUCCCUAAAACUGGGCCCAGUUCGGAUUGGAGGCUGCAAUUCGCCUCCAUGAAGCCGGAAUCGCUAGUAAUGGCGCAUCAGCUACGGCGCCGUGAAUACGUUCCCGGGCCUUGUACACACCGCCCGUCACAUCAUGGGAGUCGUUUGUAGCCGAAGUACGCACGCUAACCGCAAGGAGGCAGCGUCCUACGCUAUGAGCGGUAACUGGGAUGAAGUCGUAACAAGGUAAAUGCAGA
rnacentral:rRNA from 1 species